AUUGAACGCUGGCGGCAGGCCUAACACAUGCAAGUCGAGCGAGCGGCGGACGGGUGAGUAAUGGUUGGGAAACUGCCUGAUGGAGGGGGAUAACUACUAGAAACGGUAGCUAAUACCGCAUACAAUCAACGGUGCCCAGAUGGGAUUAGCUGGUAGGUGGGGUAACGGCUCACCGAUGCGACGAUCCCUAGCUGGUCUGAGAGGAUGAACAGCCACACGGGAACUGAGACACGGUCCAGACUCCUACGGGAGGCAGCAGUGGGGAAUAUUGCACAAUGGGCGCAAGCCUGAUGCAGCCAUGCCGCGUGUGUGAAGAAGGGAUUCGGGUUAUAAAGCACUAUCAGCGGGGAGGCGUUACCCGCAGAAGAAGCACCGGCUAACUCCGUGCCAGCAGCCGCGGUAAUUC
rnacentral:rRNA from 1 species